UACGAAGGGGACUAGCGUUGUUCGGAAUUACUGGGCGUAAAGCGCACGUAGGCGGAUUUGUAAGUCAGGGGUGAAAUCCCGGGGCUCAAUCUCGGAACUGCCUUUGAUACUGCAAAUCUCGAGUCCGAUAGAGGUGGGUGGAAUUCCUAGUGUAGAGGUGAAAUUCGUAGAUAUUAGGAAGAACACCGGUGGCGAAGGCGGCCCACUGGAUCGGUACUGACGCUGAGGUGCGAAAGCGUGGGGAGCAAACAGG
rnacentral:rRNA from 1 species